AUAGCUUCUUUGCGUCAAGGAUUUUCAGAACAGGCUGAUGCUUCAAGUGGACUGACGUGAUAUUAACAUCAGUAUAUAUUUUUUUCCUUUAUUUUGGUUGUGUACGUAUAGUAACUCAUGUUAAAUAUUGGUUCCUAUUCGGGAUAAAUGCAAGUAUAGCGAUUAUAGGCAGGUGUGAGAGAGUGUUGUAUUUGAUCCCACCUGCUUUCUCCCAUGGUAGAUCGGCACAACUCACUAGACGUUUCUAUAUGAGUAAUUUGAUUUAUAAAAUUUUUCUGUAGUAGAGUGUACUUCAAAUUCAAAGCAAUUCAUUGAUCUACAAAUUAGCUUGACACCCUAAGUUGCCUUUACGAAUUAACGAAUUAUUCUUUUACCCCAGAAAUCUCUACAAUACCUCGUUCAUCACUGUGCUAACUAUUUCACAAUUCGAAAAAAUACUAAACUCUCACAUUGACAAUAGUACUACUCUAUCCGCUUCAAUUUAUGUGAACCUGUUUGAUUGGGUACGGAAUUUAAGAAAAAAUGAAGACUUUUAGAAUUUUGGUUCUAAACAAGUCAAAAAGGGCCUAGAGUAUUUGUGUGCUUCUCAUUAAGGGUAGAAUUGUAAGUUUAAGCUAAAUUAUUACCAAAUUUAAAAAGGAGUCAUUCUUUUUUGAACGGACUAAAAAGGAAAUAGAUUCACAUAAACUGAAAGUUGAAACAGAGGAGUAUAUUUUAAGGAACGGUCAAAAUUAGGGAGAAAUUCAAAAAUAGCCAAAUUUACAACUGGUCGUUCAAAAAUUGCCUAGUUUCAAAAGUAAUCGAAAUUUAGCCACUUUUCAUAUAAAGAUAAAUCUGAGCGAAAACACUGUUCAAAACCCGGAAAAUUGCUAGUAUAUUAUGCUGGUGUUCCAGCAUAAGUGUACUUGAACUCCAACAUAUUAUACUGGAAUUCCAGGAUAAGUAUGCUGGAACUCCAGCAUAAUAUGAUGGAGUUCCAGCAUAAGUACACUAGAAAUCCUGCAUAAUACACUGGAGUUCCAGCAAGUAUACCGAUCCAGCAUAAUAUACUGGAGUUUGGAGCACCAGUGCUCCAGUAUCUAGUAUAUUAUACUGGAGCCAGCAAAGUAUACCGGUCCAGCAUAAUAUGCUGGAGUUCAUACACAAGUGCACCAAACUCCAGUAUAUUAUGCUAGAUCGGUCUCUGUUGCAGCAAAAUAGUGGCUAUUUUUCAUUGACUUGGUAAACGCUGGCUAUUUUUGAAUGAUCAGUCCGAAAACUGGCUAUACCGUGCUAUUUUUACUCAAAAUUAAGAUAAUAGUUGGGUCUGAGCAACCUGUGCGGCCCAUCUAUUGGCCGUGAGUCAACACAACGUUAGACAGCUCGCAUAACAGAGGCUGAGAGCUGAAGUUCUUCAUAGGCUAUACUUUGAGAAAUACAGAUUCUAUACACCAUCAAGAUGAGCUUUUGGUUUGACACGUCUGUUUAACCUUAAAAUUGGAUAACACUUAAACUUAUAAUAUGGUCUUAAGGAUACGUGAUUUCACCUAAUAUCAAUUGAUAAAUGCAAAGAGUAAUAAUAGACAUUAACAAUAAUAUAAGGCAAACUAGUGCUUGAACAGAAUUCAGCCCUCGAGCUUGGAUACCCUCGGGCUAGUUGUGCAAGAACAGUUAAAAUGCAACAAGCUAAUGAACAAGAGAAUGUGAAUUAAAGAGAGAAUAUUGUAUUGCUUUGAUCUGCGUGAACGUAAGGUAUUUACAAAAUGAUUAGAACCAUCUUUAUAUAGUAGAAGAAACCUAUCUAUGGUACAAUUUUAAUUAUGGAAGUAAAUCCCAUGAUUAGCCUAAACAAUCGCCCUCGAUUUGAUCUAUUCUGAAAUUUUCGCCGUGAUCUUUGACCGGUUACAAAUAUCUUGCUUUUCAGUUAUUGCGCUUUGCUCGAAGUCUGUUAUAUUUGGUCUCGAUCACUGCUGGCCUCGAUCUCGACAAGCACUUCGAUUCUUGAACUCGAUACCUUGUCUUCGUGCUCUAGUCUGAUCCAUUACGAGGCUAACCCUCGAUGCACUUUCCUGGUCUCGAUCAAAUAGUAAAAUCGGGUAGGCCUGGUUUUAACCGUAUACAGAUAGUCCCCUCAUUUCUUAGAAUAUAUUGAGAAGAAACGAAUUGAGCCUUCGAUUUUGUACCUCGAUCUGUCACGACGUCAUCCUUGUGACAUAAGUGAUGGAUAUGACCGAAACGUCCUGUCGGUACAUUUCCCAAAAUUAUUGAUGAGCGUCAGUUGGCGGUCGGCCACCAGUGCCUUUGAACCGUCGCCAUGAAUCCCUUAAAUAAGUCUUCUUCUCAUUUCCUCAAACUUUACUUUGAAUUUUUUUUACUAAUCUUCAAAAUUCCUUUGAGUUCUUCAAGUUUAUCUGCAAAUCUUCAAAGCUCUUUACAUCUUUUAAGCCUUUUUGUUCUGCAAAAUCUCUAGGCUUCGUUAUCUGCUUUCCCUCAAAACAACAUGCCUUAUCCUCUUCUUAUUUCUCUAAGUUUACAAAAAAUGGCGAAAAUGUCAAAAAUUGUUCCUCAAAAGGAGAAAGCCUCUUCAUCGCGGCCAGCCAGCGACAAAAUAUCGGUGGAGCCGCGCCUUGAGGAGUGCGUUCCCUAGAAGGGGUGUGUCCUUAAUUCCGACUUCAAAGUCGAGAAGACUUCAUCGGUCCCUGGUCGGUGCGAGCCUAUGUCGAGAUAUAUAUGCUCGAUAACUGAGAGUGACCUUGAUCAGGUAAAGAAAGAUUGCCAUUGGAAAGGUAAAUAAGUUGUGAUUCCGGCCCCCGAAGAAGACAUCACUACUGAUAUGGAAGGGUUUCUAAGUGUUUACACUUACCCUUUCACCCUGGGCUUUGUCGAUCCCGUCAAUAUCAAUUUUUGCCACUAAUAUCAAAUAACCCUCGGUCAUAUCCAUCUUUCUUUUUGGAGGAUUGUCAUUCUGCUCCAAUUUUUCGCGAACAAAGCCAAAGGGAUGCCUUUCACCCUCGACCAACUCAUCAGGUUGUACAGCCCCUGUCUCUUUCGAGGUGGGUUAAUAAAACUCCAACGUCGGGACACCAAUGUGUUAUUCUCGAGUAUAGAUAAGGACAAUGAUCGAGUGUGGAUGGGAAGGUUCGUUCAAGUGAAGACUCCUGACCUAAUCUCGGCAGGGAAAAUGCCAUUUCCAGAAGAGUGGAAUAUGAACCGUAAAUACAAUACUGCCUUAAGCUUCCACUUAUUAUUUUGUUUCCCUUUGCUUCUUCUUAUCGACAUUCCUUUCUAUAAUGUAGCGGUCUCUUGGAUGCCCGGUACAAUUCCUGACCUCAAGAGCUGGGUUCGAAAACUAGCUUCGACCUCCUCGUACGCUGAGCACUCAUGGUGCGAUUUGGCAAAGGUUUGAUGUGAGGCCAAAAAUCAUGGUAAGCCCUUUUUCACAUACUUGAUGAUUCUCGCUAAAAUGUUUCUUUUCCUACUUACUUGACUCCCUUUCAUAUAGGCCUUGGAAAAGACGCUGUCAUGAGGCCCCGUCUAGGGAGGAUGAGGUUUUACCCCCGGCCUCGAAGCCAGUGAAGGAUAAGAAGAGAAAAAGAAUCUCAACCUCCGAGACUCCAAAGUCCAAGAAGAUCAAGGCUCAUAAAUCGAAGAAAGACACUGCCGUCCUGCCUGCGGAUAUUGUUCAACGACUAAGAGAUGAAAAAGAGGAAAAUGAAGAUGCUAGCUUUGAGCUAGUGUCCCGAACGAAGAGGAGUAUCUAGGCCCAAAGGUCUCUGAGUCGAUGAGGGUCGAAGAGAUUCCGCCUGGAAGAGGGUCCGAGUAAAGUCCCUAAGUCAUCAGAGGCUUAAGAUGCCUCUUGCCAAAAUGCGAAUCGGCGGGUGUGUCUGAAAGGGCUGGCUCCGAGGCCCUUCAAAAUGAAGAGAACGCCCCAAGUGACUUACUUGGAGCAAUAGAAAUUGGCGAUUUGCCGAUCCUCCCUACAUUUUCUGAGGGGCAAAUUCAGGAAGCCUAGGCUAUAGGGACCCCCAAUGUGGAAAGAGCCCACGAAAGGGAGGACCUUUCCGUGGUUGCUUUACGGGAGUCAAAGAUGUUACUGAUCUGACUGAUGCAUCGAGUCUCUUUGAUAAGGCUCAACGACUUCUGAGCUGGGUAAGCCUCAGUUCCCUUCAUCGAUAUUACGCUUGUAUCUAUUUCUUCUUGCCUAAUUUCCUUUCUUUCUACAUAGGCCUUUGACACUUCAUCGGGAAGCAUUUUCUAAAUCACGGGCAGAGCUGAGCCGAUGUAAGGUCGAUCUUCAAAGGCUCACGGAGGAGAGAAAUGCCCUCAAACUUCUCAGUGGACAAAAAAAGAGGAGAUCUAGGACCUCCAAGCCGAAUUGGUCACAGCUCAUAAAGAGUAGAUCGACCUGAUUGAGCAGGUAAUGAAAAUAUUUAGAAGCUCAAUGUAUCAAUUCGGGAACGACGACUAAUACUUCGAUCCUGCAGGUUCAGCAGAAGGCCGAAAAGAUCGAACAGUUCCGUGAGGAGGCCAACAUGAUGAGGGCGGAGACUCUGGGGUGGAAAUAAGACAUGGAUCGCCUUGCCUACGAGAAAGAUAUUGCUUGAGCCCAACUGUCAUCGGCCAAACAUCAUCUCCAAAGCAUGAAGGAGGAAAGCUCGGCCUGAUCCAAGAAAAUUGAGGAGCUUGAGGCUCGAUUGUCCGCCGAACUUGCAAAGGUCACAUUUGAGCCAGAAAAUGUAAAGGCUGAUGCGGAGGCGAUCGUGGCCGUCUACCGAGAUGAUGCUGAAGCUACUCAAGCUCGAGCAAAGAAAGUUGCUGACACCACUCAGACUCGAUCAUAUUGGGCUGCCGAGCAUGACAAGUACCAAUAUCGAAGAGAGACUCUCGAGGAGAUUCAUGCUCGCGGCUUUAACCUUGCUGUCGAGAUUGAGAAUGCGAAAGAGCUCGAGGCCGAAGACAAAACAUUGCUCUCUUUCGAUGAUGAUGAUUCCGGGAGCGUGAGUGGAUCCGAGAGUGGAGGGGAUUCCGAUUGCAAAGGUGUAGCUCCCGAGGAAAAUUAGGCACUUAGGAUUUUUUUUUAAUUUUUGUGUGGGAUCCUUGAUAACUAGGGAUUCUAGCCUCUUUUAUGCUCCUUUUUGCUUAGGUUUUGGUUUAAAAUUAUGUAUAAGCAUUCCCGAAAGCUAACUUAUUGUGCUUUUUUGCAGUGUUUGGUCAAAAAGAGACAAGGAAGUCAUAAUCAUCUCAAAAAGGAGUGAAACUUGCACAAGCUCAAAGUUGAAAUCAAUGGGCGCUGACAGCGAGAAAUAGCAGCAGACGGGGAGGGUCUACUACUGAGGCGGUCCUGAUGCCUCUCUUAGCAGAUUGACAAUCAAAGAACUAAGUUCGUAGCUUAAAUUGAAGAGCACGGUCCGUGAACAUAUUUCACGGCCGCGGUUUGAGGAGCAUUGAGGUAGUUGAUUUUCCGCUCUCAGUGGACUCAGAGUUCAAACCAAGUUUAGAGGAGAAGAACCACGGUCCGCUCUUUCUUUUGCGUGGCCGCAGAAGUCCAAACGCCGAGGCGACCCAUUUUCCACGAUCGGUGGAAUCUCUGUAGGGGUAAUUUUAUCCGAAAAAUUUAGUUGUGUAUAAAUAGUUCUUUAUUAGAUUUUUAGGGCAUAUGUUGUUUUAUGGAGCACGUGAACAACCGCUUUUUACCUUUUUGAGUAAUUUUAGAACAUCUUUAGCAAUUAAUCUUAAAUUUUACUCUUGUAAUUACUUUUUAUGGCUUAUAUUUCAUCUCCAUCUUUGAUUUCUUCUUUGAUUAUGAGUAGCUAAACCCAUUAGCUAGGGUUGUGACCCAACCCUAGUGUGGGUAUUUAAUGGUCUUCAAAUUUAGGGCUUAAAUAUUUAUGGGUUAAUAAUAUUUAACUUGAUUUAUGCUUUAAUUGUUGAAUUGGUGGUUGCAAACACGAUUUGUGCCUUUUUGACUUAGGCUCUUCUUGAGAAAGAAAGACUAAGUCUAGGAAAUUCAGGCUAACACGGAAAUGGGGUGCAUUCAAGAGAUUGACAGCCCCAAUUAAAGGGUUAAACCUAGAGAUAGUAAUACCCGACUUGAGCCAAUUUUGCUUGCAUUUUUAAACACCCAAUUGGGCUUGAGAAAUCCAAUUAGGGCAAAGCCACUCAAACUACCGAGAGGUAUAGAGUGAGUAACUAUGUGCAAUGGUUAUAUUAUGAUCCCAAUCACAACAAGUUUGCCCUAAGUUUUAGACCCCGUUAGAUACCCACCUAGGUGUAAGUCACUUCCUUAGUGCCUUUUUACUAAUUGAGAAAACAUUAGAAAAAUAUCAUACUUAGCUUAUUUUUAUUCUUCAUUAGUGUUAAAAGUAGAAUAGUAACCAAAACAAAGAAUGAUUGGAAGUGCAAUCAAGAGCAUCACACAUAGCUAGAUUAGAUAGAAACCCAAUUCCAAACCAAUAUUAGCUCUCUAUGGAUUUGAUCCCGACCUUUCGGGUAAAAGCUACAUCGACCACUGUUUCCAUUCUAUAAUGGUAUAGGAUUGGAGCUGAUCACGUUUGGCGCCAUUGUCGGGGAGCUAAGCGGGUUUGGCUAUCUAUCUGACUAGUUUUGUGUCUUGUUUUUCUUUCCUUCUAUUUUACUAACUUGUGUGAGUCAAUUGAUUUAGGUGCAAAAUGGCAAACAAUGAUCCUCUUGAAAAUGUUCUCCCGGGGGAUGAGGUAGAUGAUAAUGGUGAAGAUGAGGUGCCUCUAGUACCUCAAUUACAAAGAAGAGGCCGCCAGGCCAAUGAAAACAUUCCAUACCCUCCCCCAGCUACUCCAAAAGUCGUUCCUCGUGUUCUUACAAAUAAAGGAUACGCAAGUGCAAUUGUCCUACCCCGGAUCUGGGCGGGCAAUUUCUAAAUUACAAAUGCGAUGUUAACUUUAUUGGAGCAUCGAGGGUACUUCACAGGCGCUCCCCAUCAAAAUUCAUAUAAACAUCUUAAAGGCUUUGUGGAUACCUGCUGGGGAAGCAAACAUACAAAUAUGUCGGAAGAUGCAUUGAGAUUGAGAUUGUUCCCUUUUUCACUUAGAGGGAAAGCUUUGGACUGACAUGAAAGACUUCCCAACCAUUCCAUCACUACGUGGGAUGAAUUGGCAGACAAGUUUAUAGCUAAGUUUUUCUCGCCAGAGCAUAUGGCGAUAUUGAGAGAUGAGAUUUUGGCCUUCAAACAGGAACCUAAUGAACCACUUCAUGAGAUCUAGUAGAGAUAUCAGACAAUGGUGAAAGAAUGUCCGAACAAUGACAUGACCGAAGCAAUGAUCAAGCAAACAUUCUACCGCGGCAUUAACACGACAAAUCAGUGUGUAGUGAACCAGCUAGCAGGGGAAAAUUUUAUGGACACACCUUAUGCUGAGGCAUGUGAGAUCUUGGAUGUGAUGGCAGAUACUUCCUCCGCUUGGCAAAGUCAAGCUAAUGUGCCAUAGGGUGAUCCUAUUGUCAUUCACCUGCAAAAAGAGCUCCACGACCAUGGCCAGGAAAUAGUAGAUUAACUACAAUAAUGAACCAGUUGGCAAAAUCUCAAUUGACACAAGUUCAAGCACCGAGACAAGUAAAUGCUAUGGAAGGUGUCAAUAUGUUGGUCAACAAGAGGCGACAAAGAGGUCAACAAGGUCAAGGUAGUCAGGAUCAAUAUGAGCAGGGUAGUGAUGGUUUCAACCAAUAUAAUGGGUAUGAUGAGCAAAGUGAAGAAGUUCAGUACAUGAACAAUUACCAAGGGCAAAAGGGCAAUGCUCCUAAUCAACAACAACAGUGGAGAUCCCAAGGAAACUGGGGGAAUCAAAACUAACAAGGAAAUAGCAACUGGGGGAACAACAAUUAGAAUUGGGGCAAUCAGAACAACCAGGGCAACUAGAGUGGCAACAACAACAAUUGGGGAGGAAACAACAACCAAGGGGGUUGGAAUAAUAACAAUCAAGGAAAUUGGAGGCAAGGCUUUCAAAUACCUCUGAUGUAUCAACAACCAAACAACCUGCCUCUAUUUCUGUCCUAAGGUCCUAGCUCAUCAAACAAUGAGAUGGGAAGGAUGGAGAUGAUUUUUGAACAAAUGAUGAAAAAGAAUGCCGACUCUAAUGACCAGUUGGCAUCCCAUAAUACUUCAAUCUGAAACUUGAAGGUUCAACUUGGAUAAAUUUCGCAAUCUUUGAAUACUUUCCCUAAGGAGGCUCUACCUAGUGAUACGGUAGUAAACCCAAAGGGUGGGAACAAUAUCUGGCAUGCAAAAGGAAGUUGUGAGUGAUGAGGUUGAAGUUCAUGAUGAUGAUGUUCCUAUAGUUGAUGAGCAAGUGAGUGAAGAGAAUUUGAAUGCAGAAGUGAGAAUUGAUAUUCAUGAUAAUGAGGUGGAGACUCAAGAUGACGUGAACCUGUCUAGGGAACAUGUAAUAGACAUAUCAAAAAUGGUAGUGCCCAAGGCUAAGGAUCCCUUGCCAAGGCCCCCUCCACCUUAACUCAAAGACUUGCGAAGGAAAAGAAUGAAAAAUAAUUUAAGAAGUUUAUUGAGAUGAUGAAAAGCUUGUUGAUCAAUGUUCCUUUGGUGGAUGCUCUUGAACAAAUGCCAGGUUAUNNNNNNNNNNNNNNNNNNNNNNNNNAUGGCUCCAAAGCUUGAAGAUCCCGCCACUUUCACCAUUCUAUGUACCAUUGGGAGUGCUGAUUUUGCAAAGGCAUUGUGUGAUUUGGGAGAAAGUAUCAAUUUGAUGCCUUACUCCAUGUUCAAAACUUUGGGUAUUGGUAAACUAAGAGCUACUUCAAUGAGAUUGGAAAUGGCGGAUAGAACAAUGAAGAGGUCGCUUGGUAUUAUUGAUGAUGUUCUUGUCCGGGUGGACAAGUUUAUUUUGCUUGCUGACUUUGAGAUUCUGGAUUGCGAAGUCGACUAUGAGGUGUCGAUAAUAUUGGGAAGACAUUUCCUUUCAACAAGGAAGGCAUUGGUUGAUGUAGAAGCAGGGGAGCUCACCUUCCGGAUGGGUGACAAAAAAUUUGUCUUUAAUGUGUGCAAAUCAAUGAGGCAGCCGAAUAGUACUGAAGUUUGCUCUUUUGUGGAUCUUGUCACGGAGGUGAUAGUUGAUGAUACUAGUGCCAUGAUCAAUGUAGAGGAUACUUUAGACGUGGUAUUGUUGAACCUUGAUAUGAAUGAGGAUGAAGGUAGGGUGGAGUUUGUCAAUGCUUUGCAUGGAAUGGGUUUUUAUUCUUAUAAGCCCCGUAAGCUUUCUUUGGAUCUUGAGAAUAGAAAGUCUCCGCCAACAGAGCGCUCAAUUGAGGAACCUCCCAUUUUGGAGUUGAAGCCUUUGCCUUCACACCUCAUGUAUGAAUUCUUGGGCUCUAGUUCAACUUUACCUGUUAUUCUUUCUUCUUGUCUUACUAACGUGCAAGUAGAUGCCACACUGGAGGUGAUCCAAAGAAGGAAGAAGACAAUUAGAUGGACUCUAGUUGAUAUUCGAGGAAUAAGCCCCGCCUUUUGCAUGCACAAGAUUAUACUUGAAGAUGAUGCUAAGCCCUCCGUGGAACAUCAAAAGAGGUUGAACGAGGCUAUGCACGAGGUUGUCAAAAAUGAGGUGAUCAAGUGGUUAGAUACAAGGGCUGUGUACCCCAUCUCGGAUAGUUCUUGGACUUUAUCAGUGCAAUGUGUGCCGAAGAAGGGUGGUAUGACUGUGGUCACCAAUGAGCAAAAUGAGUUGAUUCCCACCAGGACUGUCACCGGAUGGAGGGUUUGCAUGGACUACCGAAAGCUGAAUAAAGUGACCCGCAAAGAUCAUUUUUAUUGCCCUUUCUUGACCAAAUGCUAGAUAGACUUUCUGGGCAUGCCUUCUACUGUUUCUUGGAUGGGUACUCAGGUUACAACUAAAUCUUGAUUGCUCCGGAAGACCUGAAGAAAACCACCUUCACAUGUUCGUAUGGAACCGUUGCUUUUUCUAGGAUUCCAUUUGGUUUGUGUAAUGCACCGACUACCUUCCAGCGGUGUAUGAUGGCUAUAUUUACCGACAUGGUGGAGGACUUAUUGGAAGUGUUCAUGGAUGAUUUCAGUGUUGUGGCUGACUCCUUUGAUGAGUGUUUAAAGAAUCUUGACAAAGUGCUAGCCUGGUGUGAAGAGACAAAUCUUGUGAUUAACUGGGAAAAAUGCCACUUUAUGGUCGAUGAGGGCAUUGUCCUUGACCAUAAGAUCUCAAAGAACAGAAUAGAGGUAGACAAGGCAAAAAUUGAAGUGAUUUCAAAGCUUCCUCUUCCUACUUCAGUCAAGUGGGGUUAGGAGUUUUCUUGGGCAUGCGGGGUUCUACCGAAGAUUUAUCAAAGACUUUUCUAAGGUAGUGAAUCCUUUGUGCAAAUUAUUGGAAAAUGAUUCUAAGUUCAUGUUUAAUGAUGAAUGCAUGGAGGCUUUUGAACUCCUCAAGUGCAAAUUGAAAACCACUCCCAUUAUUACAGCACCCAAUUGGAGUUUACCUUUUGAGCUCAUGUGUGAUGCAAGUGAUGUUGCAGUAGGAGCGGUCUUAGGUCAAAGAGUAAACACGAUGAUUCACCCAGUGUAUUAUGCAAGCAAAACAAUGAAUGAAGCUUAGGUUAAUUACACAGUGACGGAAAAAGAGUUGCUAACAAUUGUGUUUACAAUGGAAAAGUUUAGGCCUUAUCUCAUGGGUGCCAAGGUGAUAGUUCAUACUGACCAUACAGCACUCCGCUACUUGAUGAUAAAAAAGGAUUCUAAGUCUCGGUUGAUGAGAUGGGUUCUAUUUCUCCAAGAGUUUGACCUCGAGAUUGUUGAUCGAAAAGGGAGUGAAAACCAAGUGGCAGACCACUUGUCCCGCUUGGAGGUGGAGGGGAGGCCCCGUGACGGCCUUGAAAUUAAUGAUUCAUUCCCCAAUGAGCAACUCCUCUUCGUAUCUGUGAAUAGCAUGCCUUGGUUCACGAAUGUUGCCAACUUUCUUGUGACCAGUAUUGUUUCGUGUGAGCUCUCUUGUAACCAAAGGAAGAAGCUUAAACGGGAUAGCUUGAACUACUAUUGGGAUGAGCCUUAUUUGUUUAAAAUUUGUAAUGAUGGUGUGAUUCAGAGAUGUGUUCUGAAAGAGGAGAAAAUGAGUAUUCUGGAUGCUUGUCAUUCCUCUCCCUACGGUGGUCAUCAUGGCGGGGCAAGGACAGCUUCAAAGGUACUUAGCUGUGGUUUUUAUUGGCUUACAUUGUACAAGGAUGCGGGUGAACUUGUGAAGAGAUAUGAUGAGUGUUAGAGAGUAGGUGGAAUUUUAAAGAAGGAUCAAAUGCCUCUUACCACUAUUCUUGAGGUUGACAUAUUUGACGUGUGGGGCAUUGACUUCAUGGGGCCUUUUGUGAGUUCAUGUGGCAACACAUACAUUCUGGUGGCCAUUGAUUAUGUUUCCAAAUGGGUUGAGGCUGUGGCUUUACCCAACAACGAGAGCCGGAGUGUGGUGGCUUUUCUCAAGAAGAAUAUCUUUAAUCGGUUUGUCACUCCUAGAGCAAUCAUCAGUGAUGGGGGUUCUCAUUUCUGCAAUAAGGUAUUUGACACUUUGCUUGCAAAGUAUGGUGUCAAUCACAAUGUUUCAACCCCUUACCAUCCUUAGGCUAGUGGGCAAGUUGAGAUCUCCAACAGGGAGAUUAAGAGCAUAUUAUCAAAGACUAUCAAUGCAAAUAGGACUGACUGGUCAAAGAAACUAGAUGAUGCUUUGUGGGCUUACACGACUGCUUACAAGACUCCGAUUGAUAUGUCUCCGUACUGGUUGGCGUUUGGAAAAGCUUGCCAUCUACCAGUUGAGUAAGAGCACAAGGCCAUGUGAGCUUUGAAAAAGUUAAAUCAUGAAUGGGAUGUUGCAGCAAAUCUCCGGGUAGAGCAACUCAAUGAGCUUGAUGAGUUCCAGUUUCAUGCCUAUUCCAGCUUAUCCUUAUGUAAGGACAAGAUGAAGUACUUAUAUGACAAGUAUGCCCAUAGCAAGGAUUUCAAGGAAGACGACUUAGUUCUCUUAUUCAACUCCUGGUUACGACUGUUCCCGGGAAAGCUCAAGUCAAAAUAGUGUGGACCUUUUGAGGUGGUGCCUGUAACUCCGUUUGGUGCUCUAGAUUAAAAAAGUGGUGAAAUCAUCAGAGUUAAUGGGCAUAGAGGAAAGCACUAUCUUGGCAAGUUUGAUGACAGCCACGUUGUGGCAAUAAUCCAUCUCAAAUGAUUGAUGGUAACAUGCGUCGUGCCGCGACGUUAAAUCAGGCGCUUCUUGGGAGGCAACCCAUGUGUUUUUAUUAUUUUUUUAUUUUUUUCUUAGUGUAGGAUUUGUUUUGAACUAACUGGUUAUGAGAUGCAUGUAGGAAUGUUUUAUGUAGUGCAGGACUAAGCUGAAUUUUUUUUGCAACAGUCUGAAGUUGGAUCGCUGACAACGCUCCAUUUUUCGUGGUCAGCGGUGGUCAUAUCACGCGGGCUUGAAAAGUCCAAAAAGAGACUUCUCUGAAGUUUCAUCCGCGCGGUACAUUUUUCGUAGUCAGCGCUGCCUUUUCGCUGUCGCGUGCAAUUUUUCGUUAUUAGUGGCAGUUGCAAACAAGCAGCCCUUCUGUUCGUCAAAAGCGCGAACCGCAGUGAUAUUCUGCGGCUGCGCCAGGUGAGUUCUAUGGGUCCUAGGGUGCUUUCUAUAAAUAGGAGGUCAUGAGACUUUUUACACUUUUCGCUCUCUCCACUCUCAAGAAAAACUUUUUAUUGUUCACCCAAGCCCUAGUCCGCACACACAAUGAAUUAGAAGUCCACUCCCAUCACUCACCACUCAACUGGUAAUUUCAAUUCAGAAUUGUUGUUCAAUUUGUUCUUGUUUUUUUUAUUUGUUAGUUUUUGCUUCUUCUUCCUCUUUUUCUUUUAAUUUUAACUUAGGGUUCAUUAAUGUAACUAAAUUAGUGAUAAAUAGUUAGGAUUGAUUAAUGAAUACCUAGUGGGAUUAACAUUGUAGAUGAUAUCGGCUAAAUGCAUGAAAAAAUUGAAACCCUAGGUUAGCUUAGUCAAUUUUUGAAUUUCGCAGCCGCGAAUGUUUUUCUGCAGUCAGUGUACAUGAGAUAAAUUUGAGUUUGGAAGUCUUGAUUACCGCGGUCAGUGGUGGCAAAUUCCACUGACAGUGGCCAGCUUUACGCAGCCGCGCUGCUUUUCUCGCGGUCAGCGGUACUCAUGUUUAGAGAAGUAAACAAUAUGGGUCCGCAACCGCGGUCAUUUUUCCGCGGACAACGGUACAACUUCCGUCGCCGCACCUAAUUUUCUGCAGUCAGCGGCUCUGUAGAAUCAGAGGAUGGGUAGUCUAAUCCCCAUGCCUCCGCUGCUGCGCUUCUUUAUCCGCUAUCAGCGAGUCUGCAACUUGUUAAAACAUUGUCAAUUAUUCUCUACUGUACUUCACUACUUGUUUCAACACCAGUACUAACAAUCUUGCACUAAUUAUGCAUGCAGACAAUGGUUAAAUCUAGAGGAGGCAGUGAGAAAUAAAAGGAUAAAGCAGAUUCCUCCCAGGGUAGUGGAUGAGGACAAAUCAAGUUACCCCUAGCAAUCCGGCAAUCAAUUGGAAAAUGCGGAAAGUAUCAGAGCUGCAAAUAGAGCUGCAUCCCACUCCAAGGGGAGUGAGUAUUUUCCCUUCCGGGAGGCCUCAAAGAGUGACUCUUUGCCCACACAUAUACCAGACUUAUUGGGGAGAUUUAGAUUGACAGACGUGGCUACACCCCCAGCCUCUCCUAUUGCUCAUGUUUCUUCUGAGUCAUCUGAUGGCUCAGUGGAGAGUAGUAAGUCCUCAGCAUCAGCAUCUCCUACAUCUUCUUCACCUAGACAGGACCCCAUAGAUGUAGAUGCUGAGACACGUGCUAACGGGAGAGGGGGGAUACCCAGACUGGAGGCUUGGAGAGGACAAGAAACCCGAAGGUGUGGCAACAGAGGUUUGUUAGUGAGUAGGCAUAUCACAAAUUCAGGGAGUGGUGGCCUCAAAAGUCACUCAUACAUGAGCGUCAGUUUAUAGAGCGGGAUCUUCUACCCCACAUCCCCAAUGUGAAGCAACACUUUGAUGAAAGAGUGGGGUGGAAAUAUUUCACAAGCAGGGUGCCAGAUGAUAAUGAGCACCUAGUCAAGGAAUUUUAUGCCAAUGACGCCCACAUCAAAAGGGAACAUUUGUGACUAAGGUGCGGAACCUGAAGAUCAAGUUUGAUGGAAAGACUCUGAACGACUACAUUGGUUUCAAUGAUGAGGAUGAGUAGCUGUACUUAGAGAAGUGGAAAUGGAUGAGGCGGCCCGCCCGUGGUUGGUAUCACUACUUGCUCUCCCAGAUACUACUCCAUCUUGGUUGGCAACGGGGGUCCCUAUCUAUAGGAACACCCUAAAAUUUGAGACAAAGGGUUGGGAGACCUUUUUUGCAGCAGAUUAGACCCCACUACUCACGACAAUGACAUGUCGCUUCUCGGGCGAUUACAGUGGCGGUUAUCAUGGCGGGGUUCUCGAUCAAUGUCGGGAAUAUCAUGUCCAGGGUGAUCACUAGAGUGGUCAAAAAGGGUGAGAGAUCCUAACCCUUUCCGAACAUCCUCACCAUCUACUUAAAAGAUCAAGAGGUUGAAAAAAGGAAUUUCGAUACCAAGGUGAAACCCAAGAAACCCUUUUCAUGGUACAGACUUCAGGGUCCAGGAAACCCAAAAUUCAAGGGCAAAGCUACUACUUCUACUGGCCAGUCUGAAAAGCCAGUAGUAGUGGUCACUAAUCCCGAGCCUCCCACUUCCAUACCAAAGCCUUCUGCCGAACCUUCUACUUCCAUACCUCAAGUACCCUCCUCAUCAGCAUACCCGUUGACUUCACAUAUGCUUAACCAAACUCUCUUUAGCAUCAACAACUGGAUGCAGACAACAAUAUCAAAGCUGUCUGUGCUAUCCAGCUCAGUGGCAGCCCAGUCAGUUCUCACACAGCCCCAGGUGCCAACUUCAGUGGAGAAAUCUCUCAAGGAGCUUCUGGACAACUAGAAGAAGCUCAUGGACAACCAGAAGCUCAUUAUGGAGGCUUUUCCAAUUCAAGGGAAAUCAAUUAAGGAGUUGAGCAAGCAGACGAAGAAGCUGAAAAAGACACGGGCCUCAAAGGAGUCUGUGAAGCUAUCGAGAGGAGAGGGGGAGAAGAUGAAGUCAGCUGGAGACAUACCAUUGGAGCUAUUAUUAGAGGAUCCACUUCCAGCAGCUCAGACAGAGCAGGUACCAGAGCAGGAAGCUGAGGGAGAGCCUAGGAGGAGACGACUGGUUCCUUGGGCUGAUGACUUGGAGAUUCAGCUGGAGAACCCCGAGGGAAGUGCUUCAUGCUAGCCACAGGAUCUCAAUAGAGGUGAUACAGGGACCCAGCCACAGGACCCAUGCAGACAGAGGACCCAUAGGGAGUUUUCUUUACUCUCUAACCCUUCUUUGAUCUUAUUUUUUACUAUUAGCAUUGAGGGCAAUGCUAGUUGUUAUUUGGGGGGGGGGGGGGUGGUCCUAUUUUGAUUUGUGAUACUGGGAUGUAAAUAUGACACUUAAUUUUCUUUUAUUGUUAUUUCUCACUUUUGGUAUGUAUAUAACUUUAUCAGUUAUUUCACUUUCGUUAUUUUUCAAUCUCGGUUUGUAUAUAAAGUUACUUUCUCAUGUAUAUAUUCAUUCCCCGUUAUGUAUAUUCAUCUAAAUCCCCUAUUGUAUAUAUUCACUUUACUUUCCGUAUUUUACUUCAUAACUUCUUUUGCAAUUUUCCUUAAUAGAAUAGCUUCUUAUUUUAUUUAGUAGCUUCUUUUUAGUUUGUAGUUUCUUAGUUUUACAAGUUUUCGUAAUUAAUAAGCCUUUGGUUUUCUUAAUGCCACGGUUCAUUCCAAAGGUGGAGUUUGUGUGAAUAGGGUGGCUCUUCCCGAUGAUGGAUAGCAUGAUAACCUUCUUAAGGGUUUGAGUCUUCUUUCUUUUUGUUUUUGUAUAAAUAGUAGCUAGUGAACAAUAGUACCUCAGUCAAAGCUUCACUUGGGCCUAACACAUUUACCUUUGAUGUUAUGGUUAAAAACAAAUUGGUGUGUAUAGGAUGGUGAUUGUUGUGACCUUGAGACUCUUGUGUUGACUAAACAAUCAUCAAAUGGUUUCUUAGAACCAUUUGUGUUGCUCAAAUCUUAGCUAAUGUUAUUGUGGGCCCUCGACUCUGUCUAUUUAGCAAUCUUGUAGCUUGUGUGGUGAGGUUUUAAAUUGCAAGUCCAAGUCCAAGUCCAGUGCCAAUAAGUCUAGAACUUUGCCCUGAAUCUUUGUCUAAACAAAAUCAUAAGUGUAGCUCGGCUUGAGAAGUGAUUAUAGGCUCUCCAUGAUCUUUAUUGAGACUUGAAAACAUCCAUAGCCGACCAAUAAUGAUAUCCCUAGUCAAUCCCAUUGAGCCAUAAACCUUAUUCUUCCAAAAACCAUGAUACAAGCCUUUAUCUGUUUUAAAAUGAUACUCUCUUGACACCUGAUCUUUCCUUUAGCACAAAUUGGCAAAAGUAUAAGUUUGGGGGAUGAGACGAGGUAGGCAAAACUGAUAAAAGGUACAAAACGGAAGAAAAGGGAAGGAAAAAGAAAAAAAAGCCAAAAAGUCACAAGAAUAAAGAACAAAGAUGAAAGGAUUGGAAGGACUAGAAAGGAGAAAAAGGAUUGAUAUGAACAAGAAAGAGUGACGGCGUGUCUCUCUAGUCCCCUAGGGAAGAAGUAAAUGACUCAAAGAGUCAAGAAAAUAUGAGUCAAAAUGAAGUAAAUGAAGUGCUUAAGGAAAGGCGAAACCUUCAUAGAUCAAUAUAUCAUGCUUUGAACCAAAAGCCUUCAUCACAUUCUUGCAAAAGCCCUAUAUGAUCUUGAGUUGAGUGAGCUUACAUUAGUGGUGACUCACAUAAGGGCAAGCUUAUGGUACUUAGAGCCGGACUUGUGACUUUCCUUUGAGAAGAUGAGUGCAUUUUUCACAAUCCUCGUUCUGAGUGCUACAAUCUAAAAGUGAGGUUUGCUUAUGGAGAGUUGAGGAUUAUGAGUUUGGGUUCCACAACGACCAAUGUAGUAGACAGAGUUUCCUUGAUGAGUUUAGUUAACUCUUGAUGCUUUUGUGUCGCACUAAAGCCAUGGUGCUAAAAUGGUUGUGUAUUGUUAAUAAUGCAUCUGAGUUGAGAGUAAUUAUUAGUCCCAAUUGAUUCUUGAUGAGGUUACUUUAGGACAACUCAAAAUUUUCUUUUUUUUUCCUUGAGGAGGUGGAAAUUACUUUGUUUGCUUGAGGACAAGUGAUCGAAGCCAACCCUGCACUACUAUUGAGUAGCGAGAGAGGUCGAAGCAGCUUUUACCCGAUUAAGGUCAGGAUCGAUUUUCACGGGGAGCUAGAAGUUGGAGUCGGGUGCCUAUCUAAAGUGGAAAUAAGUAUUUGCUCUUAGUUGCACUUCUAAACAUUUUGGGUUUUGAUUUACUUCUAAUUGUAUAGAACUACAAUAAUCAAUUAAACUAAAUAAGCUAAGAUUAAACUAUUGCGAGUUGUUCAAAUAGAUAAAAGGCACUAGGGUAGUGACUUUCGCCUAGGUGGUCAGUUGACGGAUACUUGAGUCUAAGGCAUGAUUGUCACAUUUGGGAGUAUGAUAUAACCAUUGCACGAUUCUACUCACUCUACACCUCUCGGUAGUUUGAGUGAUUUUGNNNNNNNNNNNNNNNNNNNNNNNNNNNNNNNNNNNNNNNNAAUCAAGGUUCAAGUCGGGUAUUACUAUCUCUAGGAUAAACCCUUUAAUUGGGGCUAUCAAUCUCUUGAGUACGCCCCAAUUCCUUAUUGGACCAAUUUCAGAGACUUAGGCUCUCUCUCUCUCUCAAGAAGAGCCAAAAUCAACUAAACACUAACUAGUGUUUGCAACCACUAAUUCAGCAAUCAAACAUGAAAUUAGUCCAAAUAUCAAACACCCGUGGUCAAUCAAGCCCUAAAACACAAGACCCAUCAAUUACCCACACUAGGAUUGAGCCACAACCCUAGCUUAUGGGUCUAGCUACUUAUAAUUAGAGAAGAAAACAAAGAAAUAGAUGAAGAAAAACUCAUAUUAAUUAAUUACUAAAUUAAUCUAGAAGAUUCAAUGUUGAAAUGAAGCUAAAAUUACUCAAAACAACUAAAAAUAUCGAAGUCACGAGCGCAACCCAGUACAAAAACUAUCUGAUGACCUAAAAAUGGGAAAAGAAGCUAUUUAUACUAAGCUGAAAAAUCUGGACAAAAAUACCCCUGCGGGGUUAGUGCGGACCGCACAAGAUCACGUGCAGCCACACUAGGGCUCUAAACUUGAAAAAACAGCUCUCUGAACUUGGGCAAUGCGAACCGCACAGAAUCGAGUGCGGCCGCGAUGGCUUCUAGUGCGGUCCGCAUGAAAUGGAGAGAGAACCGCAUUGGGCUUCAACUUGGAAUUGGCAACUCUCUAAACCUUGGCUCUGUGGACCACACUAAUCGAGUGCGGCCGCAUUGAUCCCAGUGCAGACCGCACAAAACCUCAUGCGGCCGCAUUGCCUUUUUUCCUUAAUAGCAGCCUCUCUAAACCUCACUUGUGCGGAUUACACAGAAUGAUGUGCGGCCACACUGGCCCUGUUUUGCCAGAUCUUGUCUUGUCUUGAUACUUGUGCAAGUUUCACUCCUUUUUGAGAUGAUCUUUGACAUCUUGUCACCUUGUUGAUCAAAUCUGCAAUCAAGCACAACUUGUGAGCCUUUUUGGGAUUAUUUUGUACAGAUUUCUAAUCAAAACUUUAGCAUGAAGGAGUAUAAAAUGUAUCAAAAUCCCUAUUUAUCAACUCCCCCAAACUUAAGCUUUUGCUUGUCCUCAAGCAAACAAAAUAAGACCUACCCCUUAAGAGAGAAUCCAAGAAAAUUUAGCUAUCCUAAAGUGACCUCAUCUAGCAUCAAUUGGGACUAUAAUUUCCCUCAAUACAAAUGAAUCAUUAACAACAUUUACUCUUUUAAACACCAUGGAUUAAAUGCGACACAAGAGCAUCAAGAGUGGACUCAGCACAUCAAAUAACUCUUUCUAUUACUUUGGUCAUUGUGGAACCCAAACUCACACAUCCUCAGCUCUCCCUAAGCAAACCUCACCUUUAGAAUAGUAGCACUCAGAAUGAGGUUAAUAAAAAAUCACUCAUCUCUCUCAAGGAAAAGUCACAAGUCCGGAUCUAAGUACCAUAUGCUUGCCCCUUAUGUGAGUCACCACUAAUGUAAGUUUCAUUCAACUAGAGAUCAUAUAAGGCUUUUGUGGAGACAUAGUGAAGGCUUUUAGUUCCGGGUAGGCAAUGUUUGGUCUAAUUAAGUUCCAUCUUCCCUUAAGCACUUCUUUUGUUUCAUUUUGGCACAAAUUUGCUUGACUUUUUGAGUCUUUUAACUUCUUUCUAAGGGGUUAGAGAGACACACUGUCACUCUUUCUUAUACAUUUCAAAUCUUUUCUCCUUUCUCAACUUUCCACAACUUUCAUUCUUUGCUUUUUUGAAUCCCUUUUUAUUCAAUUCUACAUUGAGCAUUCUUUUAGUCUUUUUGCUUUUGUUUCUUUUUCAUUGCCUUUCCUUUUAUUCAUUUUGUACCUUUUUACCACUUUGUUGCCAUCCUCAUCUCUCCCCCAAACUUAUACUUUUGUCAUGUGUUAAGGAAACAUCGGGCGCCAAGAGAGGGUAUCUUUUAGAACAGGUAAAGGCUUGUAUAAUGGUUCUUGAAGGAAAAAGGUCUAAGGCUCAAAUGGGUUGACUAGGGAUUUUAUCAUUGGUAGGCUAAGGGAGUGUUCAAGCUAUCAUUUGGGUCAAGGAGAGCCUAUAAUCAUGUCUCAAGUCAAAAUUCACUUAGGAUUUCACCUCAACAAACAUUCAAGGCAAGUUCUAGACCAAUGGCUCGGGACUUGGACUUGCAAUGCAAUUUCUCACCACACAAGCUAUGGGAUCACUAAAGACAUAGAGUCGGGGGCCCACAACGACCUUAGAUAAGAUUUGAGCACACAAUGGUCCCGAAAAACCACUUGAUGAUUAUCGGUUAACACAAGAAUCUCAAGGUCAUGACUUUCACCAUUCUAAACACAACAAUUUGUUUUUGACCAUGAGAUCAAAGGCAAAUGUGAUAGGCCCAAGUGAAGCUUUGCUUGAGUCACCCUUAACUACUAACUACUAAAAGAAAAAGAAAAACGGACUCAAACCCUUAAGAAGGUUGUCAUGCCAUCUAUCAUUGGGAAGAGCCACCCGGUUCACACAAACUCCACCUUUGGAAAGAACCGUGGCAUUAAGAAAACCAAAGUCUUAUUGCAAACAUUCAAAACAAGAAGCUAUGAACAUAAGUAAGAAACUACAGAAAAGAAAAAUGCGGAAAGUAAAAUGAAUAUUUACAAGAGGGUAUUUGAUCGAAUAUACAAUAGAGAGGAUGAAUAUAUACAAUGUAACAUAAACGCUAUAUACAGACCCAAAGUAAAAAGUACGAGAAAUGUAAAGAAAUGAUAAAAUUAUACAUACCAAAGAUGAAAAAUAAAGAAAAUAUAAAAUUUUCAAAUAUAUACAUGCAUUCAAAUCAAUAAAAGUAGGACCUACCCCCUCAAAUGAAAGAUGACAUUGUCCUCAAUGCCAACUAAACAAAAUAAGCACCAAAAAUAAGAGGGAAACGAAUAUAGAGACUCCCUAUGGCCCAUAUGUCUGCAUGAUAUCCUGAGUGGUCCCUGGGUCCUCAAUAUGCUCGGGAACCUCAGACUGGUUCCCUAUGGCCUGCUGCUCUGCUGUUGGGACCUGGGCUUAGACCUGGACAGACUCCUGGGCUGCAUCCUGUGGCUGACUAGAAGAGGUCUCCAGUGGGUCUGCCAAUUGGAUGACUGCAUCAUCUGCUCGGGGAAUCAUCCUCUUCCUCUUGGGAGGCCUCUGGGACUGCUCUGGCCGAGUAUGAGCUGCUGGCACAAGGUCCUAUAGCAAUAAAUCCAAAGGCAGAUGAUCUGCCUUCAACCUGUCAACCUCAACCCUCAACUCCUUCACGGACUGCUUGGAAGCCCGAGUCUUACUCAUAUUCUUGGCCUCCCUAGCAAGCUCCUAGAGAGCUUUCCCAUGAGAAUCCACAACGUCAGUAAGAACUUUCUGAGUGUUAAGGAUUUUCUUCUGGUUGUCCAGAAUAUCCUUGAGGGCAUCCUCAAUAGACUGUGGAACCUGUGUAGGUGGAGGUGCCGACUGAGCUGCCACUGUAGUAGUAAGGGCAGACAACUUAGAGGAAGCUAUCUGCAUCUAGUUGUUUUUGCUGAGAAGGGCCCGGAUCAGAUGGUGGGUGGUCACUGGGUGGGCCGUGGUAGAGGGUAUGUCUGGAACUGCUGAAGUGGAUGGACCAAGGUGAAUGUCCGCUGAGGUGGAAGAAGACUGAGUAGGAGCCACUACCACUACUAGCUCUUCAGACUGGCCAGUUGGAGCAGUGGCUGUUCCCUUGUAGUUCUUGCUUUUUGGGUUGUCAUCACCCUGCAUGCUAUACCAUGAGAACGGGGCCUUUGCUUUUACUUUGAUAUCUAAUGGCCGCUUUUCUACUUUUAGGUUCGUAAAGUACAUGGUUAAAAAACUGGGGAAGGGGUAGUUUCUAUCACCUUCAUUGACUACCUGUGUAAUCACCCGAGACAUCACCUUCCCGAUGUUAAUUGGGUACCUCGCCAUGAUUGAUGCUACCAAUACUGCUCGGUGAAGAGGGAGUGAGUUUUCAUGAGAAGUGGGGUCCAAUCUGCUGCACACGAAUGUUUCCCACCCCUUGGCCUUGAAAUUCAAACUUCUCCUCAAAAUUUUCACUCCCACAUUCAACCAAUCGAGGGUGGUACCUGGGAUUGCCAUAUACUGUGCCAACCAAGGACGGACCUCCUCACCUAAUUCCAUCAUUGCCAAAUACAACGACUCAUCCUCCUCAUCGAAGCCGAAGUAUUCAUUUAUUAUUUUUUCCAUCAAACAACACUUUCAAAUUGCGCACCUUGGUCACUUUGGUGCCCUUCUUGAUGUGGGCAAAUUGGUGUAGAAUUCCUUGACCAGGUGCUCGUUUGCAUCCUCACAGUUGUUUAAGAAAUACUCCCAGCCCACUUUCUCUCUAAACUGUCUUCUCACAUUGGGGUUGUGAGGCAAGAGGUCUCUAUCAGCAAAACUCCUCUCCGGAAUCAAUUUCCUCACAGGCCACCAUUCCCUGAAUUUAUGGUAGGCUACCUCACUCACAAACCGGUCUUGCCACACAUUUAGUUUUCUAGUUCUAGCAAUUCCUCCCACCUGAAGUUCACCCCUUCUCCUACUACCUCGUCUUCUCCUGCUGCCUCAUUUUCUCCUACUGUACCCUCUCCGGAUAAUGAAGCUAUGGAAGAGGUGGAGUAUGUAUCCCCACCGCCUUUAGCUAAGCCCUCAAACGACCUAGAAGAUACAUUUACUAACGCUUGGGCAGUGGGGGAAAAUGGAGGAGUGUCUCUUAGUCUAUUUCUCUUCGGCCAGUCAAGGAUGUACUCUGGGAUUGAAUUUCAAGAUAUAUCCCGAGAGGGCUCGUAUUCACACCCAGACUGGUCAAUGGCCCUAUCAGCAGCUUUAAUGAGCUUCCCCAUGUUUUUAAUGUUUUGCUGGGCUUGGGGAGUCAAUCUUAGCAUCUUCUAUUUCCCUCCUCAGGAGGAUUCUCCUCUACCAGCUUAUUUAGAACCCUUGCCUCUUUGUUUCACCAUUGUCUGCAAACAACAGUCAUUACGCUUGUUAGUAUCCAGAAAGACAGUGAAGUUCACAGUUGCAAGAAAUAAAAUGUUGCAGAUAGUAUCAAAAUGUUGUAGAGUGCGGACCGCACAAAAUGUAGUGCGGCCGCACUGAGGCCAAUGCGGACCGCACAAAAUGCCAAUGCGGUCUGCAUAGAGGUAGGGGUCAAACUACCCACUCUCUGAACAUCACUCCGCGGACCGCACAAAAUGCCAAUGCGGUCCGUAUUGAGGCACCACGAACUACACAAAAUGCAAUACGACCGCGGUCCUCAAUGAUCAGAUUACAGAACUUGUAGCAAUGCGGUCCGCACAAAAUUCCAUUGCAGAUUGCUCAAGAGCACCGCGGACGACACAAUUUCCACCGCGGUCCGCACUGAGUGCCCAGUCACAGCACUAACUUAGGGUUCAAGAUAAUUUGAUUUUUAGUCCAAUUUUACACCUAAGAAAGGUCCCUAAGUGUUUGCCCAGUAUUUUUAACUACCCAAUCUAAGAAUAAACAAGAAUUUACUAACUCUAGUCUACAUUACUGAAAGAAAUAAGGGUAUGGCAAGACGAAGAAUAAGAAAAGAAAAACAUAAAAGAAAAUAACAAAAUUACAACAAUUAAAAAGAAGUUAAAGUUACCAGUUGUUAGAAGAACUGAAGAUUAAUGAUUCCUAGUAGUUAAUUAAGUGCAAUAGGGAUGAUGAACAAUGAUUUUAUGAGUUCUGAGAGCAAAAAGAUCGAAAAGUUCAAAUGUUGGGUCUCAGGUACUAUUUAUAGAAAAGGUUCUGGUGCCUAGCUUACCUACCCUAAUGCGGACUGCACAAAAUGGCAAUGCGGUCUGCACUGCUCAAAGUCACAAGAUUCAGACAAGGCAGCCACUGCAGUCCGCACAAAAUUCAUUGCGGCCGCACUGGACCACCGCGGACCGCACUAAAUGCAUUGCGGCCGUGGUGGUAAACUUCAAAGAGCAGGUCUUUUACUCCUUCAUCAGUGCAGUCCGCACUAAGUUUGUACCCCCCGCAUUAGGUUCUCUACGGCCGCACAAAAUGUAGUGCGGUCCGCAUUGCAAACUUCAGAGACUUGACAUUUAUUUUUCCACUUUGUCCUGCGCUGCAUCAACACAAACCUGUACCAUCUCACAACCAAUCAGUCCAAAAAUAAAUCCUAUCCUAUAAUGAAAAUCAAAGAAAAAUAAGAAGAAGAACACAUGGGUUACCUCCCAAGAAGCUCCUGAUUUAACGUCGCGGCACGACGCAGGUUACCAUCAAAUCAUUUGAGAUGAAGAAGUGCCACCACGUGGCUGUCAUCAAUUUUUCCCAAGUAGUGCUUGACCCUAUGCCCAUUCACUCUGAAAACUUUCCCAUUUUUGUUCUUUAAAUCAAGUACACGAAACUGGGUCAGACACACCACUUCAAAAGGUCCACUCCAUUUUGACUUAAGUUUUUCCAAAAACAGACGUAACCGAGAGUUGAACAAGAGAACCAAAUCACCCAUUUUGAACUCCUUGCUACGAGCAUAUUUAUCAUGAAGGUACUUCUUGUCCUUGUACAAGGAAGAACUGAAGUAGGCAUGGAAUCAGAAUUCAUCAAGUUCAUUAAGGUGCUCCACACGAAGAUUGGCUACAACAUCCCAUUCAAGAUUUAGCUUCCUCAAAGCCCACAUGGCCUUGUGCUUUAACUCAACCGGUAGAUGGUAAGCUUUCCCAAACACAAACCGAUAUGGAGACAUACCAAUCAGAGUCUUGUAAGCAGUCCUAUAAUCCCAUAGAGCGUCAUCCAACUUCUUUGACCAAUCCGUCCUAUUUGCAUUGACCGUCUUUGACAAUAUGCUCUUGAUUUCCCUCUUGGAGACUUCAACUUGGCCACUCGCUUGAGGAUGAUAGGGAGUNNNNNNNNNNNNNNNNNNNNNNNNNUCACUUAUGAUUGCACGAGGAGUACCAAACCUUGUAAAAAUGCUCUUCUUGAGAAAUGCAACAACAUUCCGGGCCUCAUUGUUGGGCAAAGCCACGGCUUCAACCCACUUUGAGACAUAUUUGACCGCCUUAAGAAUGUAUGUGUUCCCACACGAGCUAACAAACGAGCCCAUAAAAUUAAUGCCCCAUACAUAAAAAAUAUCAACCUCAAGAAUCGUAUUGAGAGGCAUCUCAUCUUUCUUCGAAAUUCCACCCGCUCUUUAACAUUCGUCACACCUCUUCAUGAGUUCACUUGCAUCUUUGUACAAAGUUGGCCAAUAAAACCCACAAUUGAGAACUUUGGAAGCCGUCCUCGCUCCGCCAUGAUGGCCACCAUAGGGAUAGGAAUGACAAGCCUCCAAGAUACUCAAUUGCUCUUCCUCCGGGACACACCUUCGUAUUAUACCAUCCGUGAAAAAUCUUGAACAAGUACGGCUCAUCCCAAUAGAAAUCCAAACUAUCCCGCUUGAGCUUCUUCCUUUGGUUAGAAGAGAGCUCACACGAGAUUAUACCAGUCACAAGGAAAUUAGCAACAUCCGCAAACCAUGGCAUAUCAUUCAUCGACACCGAAAGGAUUUGUUCGUCGGGAAAUGAAUAAUUGAUCUCUAGGCCAUCACGAGGCCUCCCCUCCUCCUCCAAGAGGGACAAGUGGUCCGCCACUUGGUUUUCACUACCUCUCUGGUCCACAAUCUCCAAAUCAAACUCCUGAAGUAAUAAGACUCAUUGCAUCAGUCUAGCUUUGGAAUCCUUCUUCGUCAUCAAGUACCGAAGUGCGGCAUGUUCGGUAUGAAUAAUAACCUUAGCACCCAUGAGAUACGGCCGAAAUUUUUCCAUUGCGAACACAACAGCCAAAAUUGUUUUCUCGGUCACCGUGUAGUUCACUUGAGCAUCAUUCAUUGUCUUACUCGCAUAGUAUACUGGAUAAAACAUUUUGUUCACUCUUUGACCCAAAACUGCCCCAAUCGCAACAUCGCUCGCAUCACACAUGAGCUCAAAGGGUAAGCUCCAAUUGGGUGCAGUAAUGAUAGGAGUGGUGGUCAACUUAUGCUUGAGAAGUUAAAAGGCUUGCAUACAUUUUUCAUCAAACACGAACUUGGCAUCUUUUUCCAACAACUUGCACAAUGGAUUUACCACCUUCGAAAAGUCUUUGAUAAACCUCUGGUAGAACCCCGCAUGCCCAAGAAAACUUUAAACUCCCUUCAUAGAUGUAGGGGGAGGGAGCCUUGAAAUCACAUCAAUUUUUGCUUUGUCUACCUCAAUACCAUGCUUUGAAUUUUAUGCCCAAGAACUAUGCCCUCUUCCACCAUAAAGUGGCAUUUCUCCCAAUUGAGAACAAGAUUGGUUUCUUCACAACGGGCUAAAACUCUUUCAAGAUUCUUCAAGCAUCCAUCAAAUGAAUCUCCCACAACACUGAAGUCGUCCAUGAACACCUCCAAAAUAUCUUCCACCAUAUCGGUGAAAAUGGCCAUCAUACACCACUGGAAUGUUGUCGGUGCAUUACACAACCCAAAAGGCAUCUUAGAGAAAGCAAAGGUGCCAUAUGGACAAGUGAAUGUGGUCUUCUCCUAAUCUUUCGGAGCAAUCAAGAUUUGGUUGUACCCAGAAUACCCAUCCAAGAAACAGUAGAAGGCACGCCCAGCAAAUCAGUCUAACAUCUGAUCAAGAAAAGGCAAAGGAAAGUGAUCCUUGCGGGUCACUUUAUUCAACUUGUGGUAGUUCAUGCAUACCCUCCAACCGGUGACGGUUCUGGUAAGAAUCAACUCAUUUUGUGAAUUUGCAACCACGGUAAUGCCACCCUUCUUCGGUAUACAUUGCACCGGUGAAGUCCAAGAGCUAUCAGAGAUGGGGUACACAACCCCGACAUCCAACCACUUGAUCACCUCCUUUUUUCACAACUUCUUGCAUUGCCUCUUUCAACCUCCUUUGACGUUCCAAGGAGGGCUUUGCAUCAUUUUCCAAAAUAAUCUUGUGUAUACAGAAUGCAGGGCUUAUCCCCCGAAUAUCAGCUAAAAUCCAUCCAAUUGCCUUUUUCCGCUUUUGAAGCACCGCCAAUGUGGCAUCAACCUGCAUGUUAGUAUGAAAAGAGGAAAGAAUAACUGGCAAAGUAGAAUUUGAGCCUAAGAACUCAUACCUAAGGUGUGAAGGCAGUGGUUUCAAAUCCAACACCGGAGGCUCCUCAAUUGAAGGUUUUGUUGGUGGAGUCUUCCUAUUCUCGAGGUCCAAAGACAAUUUCCUGGGCUCAUAAGAGCAUUUACGCACUCCACUCGGCCCUCAUCAUCACUGACAGCAAGAUUUAACAAUACGAGCUCCAAUGGAUCCUCCACAUUAAUCAUUGUACUGGUGUCAUCAACUAUCACUGCUGUGACGAGGUCCACAAAAGAGCACACCUCGGUACUAUUAGGUUGCUUCAUUGAUUUGGAAACAUAAAAGUCCACUUUUUCAUCACCCACUCGGAAGGUGAGUUACCCUGCUUCCACAUCAACUAAGUCCUUCCCCGUAGCAAGUAAAGGUCUCCCCAAAAUGAUAGGAACUUUAUAAUCCACCUCACAAUCCAAGAUCACAAAGUCAGCUGGCAAGAUAAAUUUGUCCACCUGGACAAGAACAUCAUCAAUAAUACCCAAUGGUCUCUUCAUCAUUCUAUCUGCCAUUUGCAAUCUCAUGGAAGUCGGCCUAGGUUACCCAAUACCCAAAGUUUUGAAAACUGAGUAGGGCAUCAAAUUGAUACUAGCCCCCAAAUCACAUAGAGUCUUAGCAAAAUCCGCACUCCCAAUGGUGCAAGAAAUGGUGAAAGAACCGGGAUCUUCAAGCUUCAGGACCAUUGAAUGCACUAUUGCACUAACUUGAUGAGUCGUAUUUAUAGUUUCACAAUCCAUAGACCGCUUCUUUGUCACCAAGUCCUUCAUGAAUUUAGCAUAGCCCAGCAUUUGUUCAAGAGCCUCCACCAAAGGCACAUUAAUGGAUAAGCUCUUCAUCAUGUCAAUGAACUUUUUAAACUGAUUCUCAUUUUUUUGCUUUGCGAGCCUUUGAGGAUAAGGUGGAUGUGGCCUUGGCAAAGGAGCCUUGGCUUUUGGCACAACCGGUUCCGGCAUGUCUAUUAUGUGUUCCCUAGAGGGGUUCAAAUCAUUUUGAGUUUCCACCUCAGCAUUUUGAAUAUCAAUCCUCACUUCUUCAUUUACAUUGUCAUCAAUCAUAUUUUCAACCACUAAUGGAACUUCAUCUUCUUGCAACUCAACAUCAUCACUCAAAACUUGCUUUUGUUUGGAGGCAUUCACAUCACCUCCUCGUCCACUCCUUAUAGUCAUUACCAUAACAUGAUUGUUCCCACCCUUCGGGUUCACUACCGAAUCACUUGGUAGAGCACCUUUAGGGCGAGUAUUCAAGGACUAUGAGAUUUGGCCCAACUGAACCUCCAAAUUCCGAAUCGAGGUAUUGUAGGAAGACAACUUAGCAUCGAAAUCUGCACUCUUUUCUAUCAUAUGUUCGAACAUCAUUUCAAUUCUCCCCAUAUCAUUGCUAUAAAAACUGGGACCUUGAGAUGAAAAUGGGGGUGGAUUGUUCGGUUGUUGGUACAUUGAGGGCCUUUGAAAGCCUUGUCCCCUAUUUCCUUGGUUUCCAUUAUUCCAUCAACCUUGAUUGUUGUUACCACCCCAAUUAUUAUUACCAUUUUAAUUUCCUUGAUUGUUUUAAUUGUUGUUCUGAUUUCCCCAGUUGGAGUUUUGGUUGUUAUUCCCCCAAUUACCAUUUCCUUGUUGUUGUUGAUUGCCCCAAUUGUCUUGGGGUCUCCAUUGUUGUUGGUUGGAAGAAUUGCCCCUUUGGCAUUGAUAAUUACUCAUGUAUUGCACCUCUUCACUUUGUCCAUCAAAACCAUCAUCUUGAAAUCCACCAUAAUCAUUGUCAAAUUGCUCCGAAUUCCCUUGGUUCUGUUGACCUCUUUGUCUUCUUUUGUUGACAAACAUGUUAACACCCUCCAUGACAUUCACUUGGAGAGGAUUUUGAACCUGUUGCAACCGUGCCUUUGCUAGUUGGUUCAUGGUAGUUGUCAACUCAGCAAUAGCCUGCCCAUGAUCAUGUAACUACUUAUGCAAAUGAGUGACUGUGGGGUCACCCUAGGGCACGUUGGCUCUACUUUGCCAUGCAGAAGAAGUGUCAGCCAUCUUGUCAAGAAUGUCACAAGCCUCAUCAUAAGACAACUUCAUAAAGUGUCCCCCAGCAAGUUGGUUCACUAUGCAUUGGUUUAUUGUAAUAAUGCCCCGAUAAAAGGUUUGUUGGAUCAUUGCCUCAAUCAUAUCAUUAUUGGGGCAUUCCUUCACCAUUGUUCUAUAACGCUCCCAAAUCUCAUGCAAAGGUUCCGUGGGCUCUUGCCUGAACGCCAAGAUCUCAUCUCUCAAUGCAGCCAUAUGCCCUAGUGAGAAAAAUUUCGCAAUGAACUUAUCCGCCAACUCAUCCCAAGUAGUGAUGGAAUGGUUGGGAAGUCGCUCAAGCCAAUCAAGUACUUUCCCUCUAAGUGAAAAUGGGAAGAGUCACAACCGGAGAGCAUCCUCGGACACAUUUGUUUGCUUGCUCCCCCAACAUGUAUCCACGAACCCCUUGAGAUAUUUGUAAGCAUUUGAUUUGCAGCGUCCAUGAAAUACCCACGCUGCUCUAGCAAAGUCAACAUCACAUUGGUUAUACGAAAAUUUCCCGCCCGGAUUCGGGGUGACACAAUAGCACUUGCAUAGCGCUGGUUUAGAAGCACUCUAGGAGCCACUCUUGGAGGUGGCGGGGGUNNNNNNNNNNNNNNNNNNNNNNNNNNNNNNNNNNNNNNNNNNNNNNNNNNNNNNNNNNNNNNNNNNNNNNNNNNNNNNNNNNNNNNNNNNNNNNNNNNNNNNNNNNNNNNNNNNNNNNNNNNNNNNNNNNNNNNNNNNNNNNNNNNNNNNNNNGGUUAAACCUAGAGAUAGUAAUACCCGACUUGAGCUAAUUUUGCUUGCAUUAUUUAAACACCCAAUUGGGCUUGAGAAAGUCAAUUAGAGCAAAGUCACUCAAACUAUCGAGAGGUAUAGAGUGAGUAACUAUGUCCAAUGGUUAUAUCAUGAUCCCAAUCACAAGAAGUUUACCCUAAGUUUUUGACCCCGUUAGAUACCCACCUUAGGUGUAAGUCACUUUCCUAGUGUCUUUUUACCAAUUGAGAAAAUAUUACAAAAAUAUCAUGCUUAGCUUAUUUUCAUUCUUCAUUAAUGUUAAAAGUAGAAUAUUAACCCAAAAAAAA
rnacentral:lncRNA from 1 species